UACGAAGGGUGCAAGCGUUAUCCGGAUUCAUUGGGUUUAAAGGGUGCGUAGGCGGGGCAAUAAGUCAGUGGUGAAAUCCUGCGGCUUAACCGUAGAAUUGCCAUUGAUACUGUUGCUCUUGAGUAGGCUCGACGUGGGCGGAAUGUGCCGUGUAGCGGUGAAAUGCGUAGAGAUGUGGAGGAACACCGAUGGCGAAGGCAGCCUCCUGGGCCAACACUGACGCUCAUGCACGAAAGCGUGGGGAGCAAACAGG
rnacentral:rRNA from 1 species